rnacentral:lncRNA from 1 species
GGCUCUCCAGCCUCUGGCACAAUCUCGGCAUCCUUCGAAUCCUCCACCACUGAGAAAGCAGCCUCCACAGCAUUGGCCUCCUCAUCAACAGCGGAGACCUCUUCGACCAGAGCCUCCUCAACCAUCGGGGUCUCCUCCGCUACAGGUGCGGGGGCAGCCUCCUCCUCAACCUCGGCACUCUCGAGCACUGCCUCCGGCUCACCCACAACUUCUGGUACCGCCUCAUCGCUCGCAAUCGGCAGCUCCACUUCGCGCGACUCCACUUCAGGAGCCGCUUCCUCAGUCACGCUUGCAUCGGGUGCCUCCGGUGCAGCAACCUCUGCCACUGGAGCCUCUGGCGCAACCUCGGCAUCCUUUGCCUCCUCCACCACUGGAGCAGCAGCCUCCUCACCAUUGGCCUCCUCAUCAACAGCGGGGACCUCUUCGACCAGAGCCUCCUCACCCUUCGGGGUAUCCUCCGCUACAGGUGCGGGGGCAGCCUCCUGCUCAACCUCGGCACUCUCGAACACUGCCUCCGACUCACCCACAACUUCUGGUACCGCCUCAUCGCUCGCAAUCGGCAGCUCCACUUCGCGCGACUCCACCUCAGGAGCCGCCUCCAAAGUCACGCUUGCAUUCGAUGCCUCCAGUGCAGAAACCUCCACCAUUGGGGCCUCUGGCUCUGCAGCCUCUGGCACAAUCUCGGCAUCCUUCGAAUCCUCCACCACUGAGAAAGCAGCCUCCACAGCAUUGGCCUCCUCAUCAACAGCGGGGACCUCUUCGACCAGAGCCUCCUCAACCUUCGGGGUCUCCUCCGCUACAGGUGCGGGGGCAGCCUCCUGCUCAACCUCGGCACUCUCGAGCACUGCCUCCGGCUCACCCACAACUUCUGGUACCGCCUCAUCGCUCACAAUCGGCAGCUCCACUUCGGGCGACUCCACUUCAGGAGUCGCUUCCUCAGUCACGCUUGCAUCGGGUGCCUCCGGUGCAGCAACCUCUGCCACUGCAGCCUCUGGCACAAUCUCGGCAUCCUUCGAAUGCUCCACCACUGAGGCAGCAGACUCCACAGCAUUGGCCUCAACAUCAACAGCUGGGACUUCUUCGAGAAGAGCCUCCUUAACCUUCGGGGACUCCUCCGCUACAG